rnacentral:rRNA from 1 species
AUGGGGUGCGUGUCGUCGACCUUCACCGAGGACGACGAGCGGCGGAUCAUCGGGGUAUCCGCCUCCGCGUCCCACAUCGUCUCCCUCACCUCCUCCACCUACGGCAUCCUCACCUACAACCUCGCCCCUCCCAACAAAUCCACACCCCCUCCACCGCCGCCGCCUCCGCCCGCCCCACCGCUCUCGCUCCCCUCCAGCAGGGCCAAGCCCAAGCCGCCCUCCGACGAGCAGCCGGAGGCGGAGGUCAUCAACUCGUGGGAGCUCAUGGCCGGCCUGCACGACCCCUCCACCCCGGCCAAGUCCAGGUCCCCGCGCGGCCCCGCCCGCAGGGACGCCGGCGACCGCCCGCCCCGCCCCGUCCGCUUCCCGCUCCGCGCCAUCGACGGCAACGCCGCGGCGCGCGCGCCCCCUCCGCCGCAGCGCUGCCCGCCCGGCGGCGCGCGCUGCGCGGUGCUCUACACCACCACGCUCCGCGCCGUGCGGUCCACCUUCGAGGCCUGCAACGCGGCGCGCGCGGCGCUGCAGUCCCACGGCGUCGCCUUCCGCGAGCGCGACGUCUCCAUGGACCGCGGCUUCCGGGACGAGCUCCGCGCGCUGCUCCUCCCGGGCGCCCCGGCGGCGCUACCGCGGCUCUUCGUGCGGGGCCGCCACGUGGGCGGCGCGGUGGAGGUGCUGCGGCUGGACGAGGAGGGCGCGCUGGCGCCGCUGCUGGAGGGCCUCCCCCGCGCGCACUCCCACGGCUGCUGCGACGGCUGCGGCGGCAUGAGGUUCCUCCCCUGCUUCGACUGCUCCGGCAGCCGCAAGGUCCUGGCCGGCGCCGGCGGGGCAGUGAAAGGGCGCCCGGAGAGGGGCGUGGUGCUCCGCUGCCGAGAGUGCAACGAGAACGGCCUCGUGCUCUGCCCCAUCUGCUCCUGA